rnacentral:rRNA from 1 species
AUUGAACGCUGGCGGCAGGCCUAACACAUGCAAGUCGAGCGGAUGAGAGGAGCUUGCUCCUUGAUUUAGCGGCGGACGGGUGAGUAAUGCCUAGGAAUCUGCCUGGUAGUGGGGGAUAACGUCCGGAAACGGGCGCUAAUACCGCAUACGUCCUACGGGAGAAAGCAGGGGACCUUCGGGCCUUGCGCUAUCAGAUGAGCCUAGGUCGGAUUAGCUAGUUGGUGAGGUAAUGGCUCACCAAGGCGACGAUCCGUAACUGGUCUGAGAGGAUGAUCAGUCACACUGGAACUGAGACACGGUCCAGACUCCUACGGGAGGCAGCAGUGGGGAAUAUUGGACAAUGGGCGAAAGCCUGAUCCAGCCAUGCCGCGUGUGUGAAGAAGGUCUUCGGAUUGUAAAGCACUUUAAGUUGGGAGGAAGGGCAUUAACCUAAUACGUUAGUGUUUGACGUACCGACAGA